GUGAGGAAUAUUGGACAAUGGGCGCAAGCCUGAUCCAGCCAUGCCGCGUGCAGGAAGACGCAUCUAUGGUGUGUAAACUGCUUUUGUACGGGAAGAAACACUCCCUCGUGAGGGAGCUUGACGGUACCGUAAGAAUAAGGAUCGACUAACUCCGUGCCAGCAGCCGCGGUAAUACGGAGGAUCCAAGCGUUAUCCGGAAUCAUUGGGUUUAAAGGGUCCGUAGGCGGUUUAAUAAGUCAGUGGUGAAAGCCCAUCGCUCAACGAUGGAACGGCCAUUGAUACUGUUAGACUUGAAUUACAAGGAAGUAACUAGAAUAUGUAGUGUAGCGGUGAAAUGCUUAGAUAUUACAUGGAAUACCAAUUGCGAAGGCAGGUUACUACUUGUGGAUUGACGCUGAUGGACGAAAGCGUGGGGAGCGAACAGGAUUAGAUACCCGGGUAGUCC
rnacentral:rRNA from 1 species